GGACGGCACAUUGUCCUUGUAAUGGAGAUCCAGCAGGGUGGCCACCCAGUAAUCAGCACAAGUUAGAAUGUGGGCAACUCGGCAGUCAUUGCGCAGGCACUUGGUGACUCUAGAUAACCUCAGGCCGAUUGCACGUCCCCGUGACGGCGACAACGCAUUCGGAUGUCUGCCCUUUCAACUUUCAAUGGUACUUUCUGCGCCUACCACGGUGACCACGGGUAACAGGGAAUCAGGGUUCGAUUCUGGAG